UACUGAUGAAUCUCCUGCGGUUGAUGC
rnacentral:piRNA from 1 species